AUGGAGGGGCCUUCAGGAAAGAAACUCAGUUUCAAGCCAGCCUUUGAUAGGAAGGUUCACAAGAAGUAUGACACCCAACAAAUUACAGAAGAGAAAAGAGAUACAGGUUGCCCAGAGGAAGAUAGAGGCCAAACACCGACCUGGUGUUACUUCCAGAAAUCCUGUGUUGUUGAGUGGUUACUUUUUCCCAUAGCCUGUGACCACAAUAACUUCGUAACCUGAGAAUGAAACCAGGUCCAGCAGAGAGGAAGCGACGCUGAAGAACCCCUGGCAGCUUUGUGCAUUGAAGAGACUGCAGACUCAUCAACUUGGAGAGAGUAAAGGGAGCCUACCAUGUCCACUGAAGCUCACAAAGCCUGCAGAAGGAAUUGCACUGGAAAUGCAGGAUGAAGCCAACGACCAAAGUAGUACUGAGGAUCAGCUCAUGCCUGGAGAAGUCUCCUCUGCCCAUGCCCGAUGCUUGGGAAAGACUGAGCAAGUGUCUCUUCAUCUGUCGCCUUCUUUCUCCAGUCCAGGGGUAACAAUGCCAGUGCCUCUUCAUCUGUCACCAUCUUACUGCAUACAAGAAGAACUAUUGCAGAUAUCCGGAGACAGACCUGGAAGGUAAAGAAAGACAGGAAGAGACUGGCAGAGGCCUUGGAGGCAGACAGACUUGCCAGGCAGACAGAAAACAUGGGGAGAAAAGAUGA
rnacentral:lncRNA from 1 species